rnacentral:rRNA from 1 species
CGAUUAGACCCUAUUGAACUUAACUGCAGUUAAACUGGGSCAGUAAAUUAAUUAUUAUUUUAAUAAACCAUACUAUGUAAAUAUCUAAUAAAAUUAAAUAAUUCAGUUACCAUAGGGAUACCAGCGUAAUAAUUUUCUAAAGAUCUCAUUUAAAAUAUAGAUUACGACCUCGAUGUUGAAUUAAUAACCUAAUUAAGGCAAAACUUAAAAAAGGAAGUCUGUUCGACUUUUAAAAAAUUACAUGAUUUGAGUUCAGACCGGUGUAAGCCAGGUCGGUUUCUAUCUUCUAAAAAAUUUUUUACAGUACGAAAGGACCUAAAA